rnacentral:rRNA from 1 species
GGGGGGCCGCAGUGAAAUGGCCCAACCGACUGUUUAGCAAAAACACAGCAUUGUGCUAAGGCGUAAGCCGACGUAUACGAUGUGACACGUGACCAAUGCCAAAAGAUUACGGUAAGAUGUUAGCACUUUAGUGCGAAGCUUCGAGCCCAAGUCCUGGUGAAUGUCGGCCGUAACUAUAACGGUCCUAAGGUAGCGAAAUUCCUUGUCGGGUAAGUUCCGACCUGCACGAAUCGUGCAACGAGUUGGGCGCUGUCUCGACCAGGUGCUCAGUGAAAUUGUAGUUCCGGUGAAGAUGCCGGACACCCGCAGAAGGACGGAAAGACCCUAUAGACCUUAACUGUAAGCUGUUAUUGGUUGUUCGAUCUUAAUGCUCAGCAUAAGUGGGAGACAUUGAAGGGUGCGUUUAGGCGCAUCUGGAGUCAUCAGUGAGAUACCACCCUUUAAUAUUGGAUAAUCUAACCCCGAGCCGUCAUCCGGCCGUGGGGACAAUGGCAGCCGGUCAGUUUUACUGGGGCGGUAUCCUCCUAAAGAGUAACGGAGGAGCGCGAAGGUGGGCUCAGCACAGUUGGCAACUGUGUGUUGAGUGUAAAGGCACAAGCCCGCCUAACUGUGAGACCUACAAGUCGAGCAGAUACGAAAGUAGGCCUUAGUGAUCCGGCGGUAGAAUGUGGAAUUGCCGUCGCUCAACGGAUAAAAGGUACCUUAGGGAUAACAGGCUUAUCACGCCCAAGAGUUCAUAUCGACGGCGUGGUUUGGCACCUCGAUGUCGGCUCGUCGCAUCCUGGGGCUGGAGAAGGUCCCAAGGGUCCGGCUGUUCGCCGGUUAAAGCGGCACGCGAGCUGGGUUCAGAACGUCGCGAGACAGUUCGGUCCUCUAUCCUCUGUGGGCGUAGGAAAAUUGAAGGGUUCAGACCUUAGUACGAGAGGACCGGGUUUGACGCACCUCUGGUGUUCCAGUUGUUCUGUCAAGGGCACUGCUGGGUAGCUAAGUGCGGAACGGAUAAGCGCUGAAAGCAUCUAAGCGCCAAGCCAUUCCUGAGAUAAAUUUUCCCUGAAGGAUCGUGGAAGACGACCACGUUGAUAGGCUGGGGGAGAAGUGCAGCAAUGUAUGUAGCUCACCAGUACUAAUCAUCCGUUCGACUUAAUUCC